rnacentral:rRNA from 1 species
UACGGGGGGGGCAAGCGUUGUUCGGAAUUACUGGGCGUAAAGGGCUCGUAGGCGGUUUGUCGCGUCGGGAGUGAAAUCCACUGGCUUAACUGGUGGCUUGCUUUCGAUACGGGCAGACUGGAGGUAUGCAGGGGAGAACGGAAUUCCUGGUGUAGCGGUGAAAUGCGCAGAUAUCAGGAGGAACACCGGUGGCGAAGGCG